ensembl:lncRNA
CUCUGGGCUCUCCUGCUGGGCAGCUAUUUGUGCGAUGGGAUCUCUCCUGAGUAAGUGAUGGCUCUUGAAUUUAUGCCUGUUGCAGAAAAUCGAAAAUCCUUUGUGCUUUGGUGCUGUGUGAUGCUCUUGCUGAUACAGAUCUUUGUUUCUAUAAUGAGAUGACUGAUGAAGAUUAUCUUAAGAUCCUUGGAAUACUACAGUGUACCAUAACAUGGGAAAUGCUCUGGAAGGAGAUGGAAGAAUAAGAAUUCAGCAGGAAACAGCAGAACUGUGUUACAUGUGGAGGUCUCACACUUCAUAUUGUAUCAACAGAAGAAAUUGAAAAACAGCCCAUAGAACAACAGUGACCUUCUUUCUUACCAACCAUAAAAGCUAUAAUUGCCUGUAGUGGUUGAGAAGAACAGGGCAUGAUCUGUGUGCACUGCUGCUUUCAGCUGUGGUGGAAGCCAUUCACUGUAUCUUCUCAGUGAGAACUUUGGAACUUCUAGAAAAGAACAAAGGGGGAAAGAAGAAAGGAUGCUCACCACACUGUUUUGUGAAUGAAUAUUGUCAUCUCAGUAUUUCAGUGCUAGCUCUCUUGACAUUAGGAAACAAAUGUAUUUGAAAGUGGUGCUUGUUGCUUAUUACAAUACUAGGAAGAAUAACUGCAACAUUUUAACAAAUAGGUUGAAAAGGUGAACUCUGAAGGGAGAUGAAGGGUUUUUUUGGUAAUUUGGAAGAAUUGUGGUAGUGGGGUAGCAAUACAGGCUGUCUGUUUUUCUUUGUGGUUCCUUCUUCAGGCAAGAGGUAGAUAAGGCCUGUCUCUGAGAAAAUAAUGCACAGUAGAUGCUAAAUGCUAUAGAAAAGGCAAUGUGAGGGAUAUCAAAGGAUAUAAUCACCUGUAGGAUAUUUAAACAAGCUUUCUGAAGAAACUAGAUAUUUACCUGUGGAGAAUGCUUUUGGAGGUGAGAGUAAGCAGCUGAACAAGCGGUCUUAGUUGUCUGAGAUCCUAUAUCUUAGGUUCUGCCUAACAGUGUUUAUAGUAGCUUAGUAAGCAGGAUCCCUCUUUUUGAGAUGGUGAGGGACAGUUUUAACUGCCAGGUGCAACUUGUUGAGAGGAAGUCUAUGGUGAGCACACUUGGCUUUGUAAUGGUGACAGUUUGUCUGAUCUAGGUGUUUUCUGUUUAUUUCUUUUAAAGUGAUGUUUCAGGGAGCUUUGGAGAGCUAAAUAGAACUGCCCUUAUUACAGUUGCAGUACCUGCUUUUACAGAGAUUUAUAGACACUUGUGUCAGACUUAUCCUUUGAUUUUCUUCAGCAUAUACUGUUGCACAUUUGCAUGCAUUUGAAAUACCCACUACACAUAACAUAUUUGUCUAUCUCUUUAGUUCCUUACUAACUCUCUCCUAGCAGAGAGUUAUUAUUCUCUAGGAUAUUCUAAACGGUGUAUUUAAAUGAAAAGUAGUAAUCCCAACUGGCAGACUUUUGAAGAGAGGGAUUGAAACGUGGAAACAGAGAUACUCAUAUUGUCUGGGUCAAACUUUAUACUGUUAAUAUAUUUGCUUAUUUUUAGGCUAGUUGUGCUGAUUGUACAUUGGCCAAAUCAUUGUGUAAAAUUGUCUUUUAGCUAGGUUUUGCAAUCUGGUUGCAGUCAUAAAAACACAAAGUAACAGUGUCUUGAGUAUACAGUGUGUUCUCAACAGCUCUGGGAGAUUUUUUGUUAUUAAUCAGUCUUUGUCUCUUCAUUCAGUGAACUAUAUUUUCAGCUGUACUUGCCCACAGAAUGCCUCUUUGCAAC